UUAUACCAAUGGCGGUGCGUUGUGGUAUUCACAGAAGUCCACAAAAUUUCUGUUCGAAUAGCUUUGCUCAUCACAUAUAGUGGCGACGUACCAUCAGGUUAUUGUGGGCGGAAAGGAUCCGAGAUGAUGAACCAACCCACUUGAAUGAGUUCCGACCAAUCGGGAGAUCUUCUAGCUGCAUGAAGGGGCAAGCCACUACGAUAUGCUACGGUCGUGAUUAAACACGGCCAAGAAUAGGAGGUAUUAUGUCACCAAUGCGAUCAUAAUUAGUUCCGGGUUAAUCGCAAGCAUUCCAGGGAUUCUUCCACAGCUGCCUGUCACCAUGCCACAGAGAUGGUAAUCAUUUGUCCCUAAAUGUGUUGUAUAUUAUUUGUAUCAUAGAUUUCCUUUUUUGUCGUCUAGAAGAACAAAGCAAACAAAUAGCAUAUGUCAUACAAUAACCAGUUACGUUUAUCUCUGCUGUUUGCGUCCCAAAUAUGCCUAUAUAUCAUCAUCAUGCUUGCCAUCAUUAUGAUUAUCAUCAUAAGACCACUCACACAGUGAGAAACAGAAAAACCAGUCAACCCCUGUUUCCCAUGGCAGUCUUAGGCAUUGGAGCAAACGACUACAGACUGACCGUUCUAUCUUAUGGUAGUAGCAUUCGAUUGGUGCCGGACGAAACGGCCGCUGGUCUGAUCUGAACCGUGUACUGCUGUGCUCUUCUCUGUGCUGACGUGCACAGACAGACAGAGAGAGGGGUCGUCGCCGUCGUCAUCGGCGGCGCCGGCCGUUACGCAGAUGGCUGACCCUGACCGACGCCGGUGCAGCAG